rnacentral:lncRNA from 1 species
CUUUUUUUAUGCCUUGGGAGAAGUCCUGUGCUGCAGACCCUUCGCUGGCUGCGAUGUUGUGCUUGGAACGAGCCCCUGUUUAGGCUGUCGGUGGCGGAACCCCGGGUUCCUGCUCGGAAAGAGCAGCAGCCUGCUAUCAUCAGCCUCAGCGUGACGGCGCCGGCCAGAUGCGAAUGCAGAACCCACCAAGGGCUUCACCUUUACCAUCAUGUGGGCCAUGUGGCCCUGCAGCAAGUCUGUCACUCAGGAGUGAAGGCGAAGGGUGGGAGAGGACCCUGUGUGCCUGGAGGCCUGUUGCUGCGGAGCCAAAAUGUAUGUGAAUGUGUGUGUGCCCCCUCCAUGGCAGGGGCUGAAGAGGGGCACUUACUCUACAUCUUGUCUCAGCUGAACCAAUGCAAACAGGUUCAAAAGUGACUGUGGAAUAUGAGGGGACAGAUAUGCCUAUCC